UUCUAUCAAUGUUGCAAGAGCAAGGAGCACACUCUGAGGCGAGAUACUAGAAAGGUUUAUCAUGGAGAGGAUCUAGUUGGGUUCUACCAUGGAUGCGCCACAAAUUUGUUGUGGACAACUUCUGCUUAUAACAUUCUCCAGCUUCGAGUUGAUUCACAGGGUGUUCUGGGGCACGGAGUGGGUGACGUCGCGGCUCGGCAGUGAUGAGCAUACCAACCAACUUGGCCAAGCACCAAGUCCCAUCAUAGCCAAGAUGAUGGCAAAGGUCAACGGCGGGUCUUAGUGAACGUCAUGAGCUCACCGUGCUGCAACGGUGGUGGCGGUGACGCUCAUCCUCGUGGACGACCUCUUCGUGAACUAGGUAUCCUGGUGUAGUUGAGAAACAGUGCUGGCAGCGGGAGGCGCAACGGCCUCUCCUCAGAAGAUGGACGCGCGUGGGUGGACCCGCGCCUGAGGGCCGCCAUGGUUGCGUUCGUCCUUGUGGCGAGCGAGCCAAGGACAGGGGAGGGUGGAGAUCACCCGUCGUCCUGGUGGCUGUUGGGGACAAGCACCUUGGGCGACAGCUGUGAACGGCGAGAGGAGCUCCCCACCCUGCAGGAAGAAGAGAUGGUGGUCGCCUGUCCAGAACUGUUGUUGCCGGCGCCGGUGACGUCCCCAAGCUGU